rnacentral:lncRNA from 1 species
AGUAACCUGAACCAGAGUAAAAACAAGACUACCAUGUCCAGCCAGCAGAAUGCUAUAAUAUGCUAUGAUGACUGGAAUCCUUGUUAACCAAUUCCAGCACCCACCUGUCACCUCUCCCUUGAGACCAGCAUGAAGGUCGAAGUUCACACCACCUCUGCAGACUCAUUUCAUCCCUCACCUGUCCAUGGUCACCUGUGUGAUUGCCCGGGCCAGAAACAAAUACCCAAAUGCAGCAUUUGAGAGAUUUCUACUUGUCUGUUGCCUCCUCGAGAACAGCACGUAACUGCAAUGCAGCCUGUACAGGAGGACAGAGGGAAGGAAAAGCCAGAGCCAGGUCUUGAGCUGAGGAGGGCAGAGUCUUGUGGACGGCCCUCAGGACUGGGUGAUGCUGUGAGGGAGCAUGAACCCCGUGUCCCCAACGGUUCUGAGCGCUACUCGGCCGUUGAGUCGGAUCACCAGGUGGGUGAUGCUGCCAUUGUUGAGGGAGCAAUGGAGCCAGCCUUCGGGAGGAAACUGCA